rnacentral:misc_RNA from 1 species
GAUGAAGAACGUAGCGAAAUGCGAUAAGUAGUGUGAAUUGCAGAAUUCAGUGAAUCAUCGAAUCUUUGAACGCACAUUGCGCCCUUUGGUAUUCCAAAGGGCAUGCCUGUUCGAGCGUCAUUUGUACCUCAAGCUUUGCUUGGUGUUGGGCGUCUUGUCUCUAGCUUUGCUGGAGACUCGCCUUAAAGUAAUUGGCAGCCGGCCUACUGGUUUCGGAGCGCAGCACAAGUCGCACUCUCUAUCAGCAAAGGUCUAGCAUCCAUUAAGCCUUUUUUUCAACUUUUGACCUCGGAUCAGGUAGGGAUACCCGCUGAACUUAAGCAUAUCAAUAAGCGGAGGA